rnacentral:rRNA from 1 species
GACGAACGCUGGCGGCGUGCUUAACACAUGCAAGUCGAACGGAAAGGCCCUGCUUUUGUGGGGUGCUCGAGUGGCGAACGGGUGAGUAACACGUGAGUAACCUGCCCAUGACUUUGGGAUAACUUCAGGAAACUGGGGCUAAUACCGGAUAGGAGCUCCUGCUGCAUGGUGGGGGUUGGAAAGUUUCGGCGGUUGGGGAUGGACUCGCGGCUUAUCAGCUUGUUGGUGGGGUAGUGGCUUACCAAGGCUUUGACGGGUAGCCGGCCUGAGAGGGUGACCGGCCACAUUGGGACUGAGAUACGGCCCAGACUCCUACGGGAGGCAGCAGUGGGGAAUAUUGCACAAUGGGCGGAAGCCUGAUGCAGCAACGCCGCGUGCGGGAUGACGGCCUUCGGGUUGUAAACCGCUUUCGCCUGUGACGAAGCGUGAGUGGCGGUAAUGGGUAAAGAAGCACCGGCUAACUACGUG